rnacentral:tRNA from 1 species
GGAAGAUUAGUUAAAAAAUAACAUUAGAAUGUCAAACUAAAAUUACUAAUAAAAGUACCUUCCU